AAAAAGAAAAAGAAAUUAGCUAAGGUUUUUAAAGGAGAUUUUCCAGAGCUUUGGGCCCCACCUAACACUCUGGUGAAAGAAAAUGGUGUUUUUUAAAUUUUUUGUUGACUUGGGAUCAUUGCAUAUGUCACAGAAUAGAAAAUAUUCAACAUGGAGCUAACUUAAGCCGUAUUCAGUCACUCUUAUAACUGUGUUGAAGCAAUUUGUCCUUCUCUUUGGCAUCUCCAAUUCUGACCUUCCUGCAGUGAUCAAGAAGGUAUAACACAAAGCCUCUUUUCAAUCCAGGACUGUGUUAAUGCGUAGAACAGGUGUAAACACUUAGAAUCUGGUUUCAGACACGUUCCCAUCCAACACAGGGGUUAAAUGGACAUAGACAUGGGAUGUUGGGAAUGGGGGCCAGCAUGUGCCCCCCCCCAGCUCCCCAUACCAAUUGAGAGGAGAAGCAAGGAAAAUUGGGGGCAUUCGCUAGAGAACAUACAGUGGUAAUAUUUUGGCUGUCAACAGCUUAUGAAAGACUGCUCAAAAAGAAACGGAUGGGACUUCAGAAAUUCCAAAGCAUAUGGAUUUUGAGGUUUACGUCACGAGCGGUGCGCUUUGCGAAUGUGUGAACCUUCCAAGUCAUCCACGUUCUGAUGAGAGUGAAAUCCCUACGGAUGUCUGCUCAGAAGACUCAUCCAGUUCAAUAGAUCUUUCUUCCAGGUAAGUGUGUUAUAGGACUGUAGUGUCAAUGUGGAGCUAUAUCCAGAAAACACUGGCAUAGGGAAACGAUUGAGCAUUCUUAGAAGAAUGCUGAAUACAGUGGUACCUCGGGUUAAGUACUUAAUUCGUUCCGGAGGUCCGUUCUUAACCUGAAACUGUUCUUAACCUGAAGCACCACUUUAGCUAAUGGGUCCUCCUGCUGCUGCCAUGCCGCCAGAGCACGAUUUCUGUUCUCAUCCUGAAGCAAAGUUCUGAACCUGAAGCACUAUUUCUGGGUUAGCGGAGUCUGUAACCUGAAGCGUAUGUAACCUGAGGUACCUCUGUAUUCUUUUCUUAUUGUGUCCCGUUCUCUACUAGCUCAUAGUUUUUGCACUGCCAAAGCUAUACAGACUUUUAGAAAACGUGUCUGAUUAGUGGAAAAUGUCAAGUGUCUUGUGAAUGACUUAAGCGCGCACAAUGGAUUCUUCACGUAGCCCCUUUAAUCCUAAACUUCCUCUAUUAACACUUAAGGAAAGUUAAAGGUUUUCUCAUGUGUUAAAAGAGGGGUGUGUGUGUUUUCUACCAACUGCUAAACGUUCUUAGUAUACGGAUGCCCAGUUCGUUUUUCCUUCUGAGACAUCUUUUUUAAAAAGAAGAAGAAAGAAUUACUAGCGCAGUUGGAAAGCAGAUGUGCCUAUAUAGGGAUCACAUAUGUGAAUUCAUUCAGCAUAGUUAAAACAGGCAGAGAAAUCUAUGACUACUGUAAGGAAACCCCAAACACGUUGCAAGGAAAUGAUCCAAAAGGAAAGAAGAGAACUGAAAGCUGAGGAUUGUGCACCAUCUAAGGGUACCCAAUAGGAACUCACUUCAGCUCCUGCCGCUGUGAGGGUCAAAAUGGCUUAGUGUGUUCGAUUAAGACUGGAAAACGCCAGGAUCAAAUUCUUUUCGCAAUUACAUUCUGUGGCUAGUUGCCAACUCAUCAACAACCUACGUCAUGGGGUGGUUGUGAGGAGGUGGGUUGGGCUUCCUCAAGGAAAGGCAGUACAGUCGUACCUUGGAAGUCGAACGGAAUCCUUUCCGGAAGUCCGUUUGACUUCCAAAACGUUCGGAAACCAAAGCGCAGCUUCUGGUUGGCUGCAGGAAGCUCCUGCAGCCAAUCGGAAGCCACGGAAGCCCC